GCAGUCAUGGCCGAGUGGUUAAGGAGAUGGACUAGAAAUUCAUUGGGGUCUCCCCGUACAGGUUCGAAUCCUGUCGACUGCG
rnacentral:tRNA from 1 species